UUUGCUGUGUGAUAAAAACGUGUUGAAAAUUAUAUCAAAUGUAAAAACUGCUGUAAUUGGACCUCAAAAAGUAUCGUAGAUGUCUGGAGCGUGAUUUCUACAAAGUGUUUGUGUUUAAGUGAAGCAGAUAUAACGACCUACUCUUGAAAAUCGUGUGAAAUACCGAAGUUCAUAAUAAGACGAAGAACUUCAACAGAGCAACAUCGCAGCUGUAGAAAGAGAAAACAUCAAUCCUAACGAGAAAUAAUCUCGCGUCUCGCUCAUACACUUUAAUGGAAUUAUUUGGUACCUUUGUAUUGAUGAUUAAAAAGAAUUCGGACAUUGAAAUUGUCUGUGAGACUGACUGAAGAUAGUAGAAAUUUGUGCUGUGCGCGGCUU
rnacentral:misc_RNA from 1 species